CCGCGGCUGUGGCGGCGCCAUCUUGGGCGAGCGGCCGGGGCGUGAGUGCGGGCGGCGAGCUGGCGGCGUACCCGAGCGCGUCCUUCCCGACCCCGGUUCCGUGCGCGGACAUCGACACGCAGGUCGAGCUCUAGGCCGGGUCCGGGGGGGCACGCGCUGAGAUGAUGCUGAGAGGAAACCUGAAGCAAGUGCGCAUCGAGAAGAACCCGGCGCGCCUCCGCGCUCUAGAGUCGGCGGCCGGCGAGGGCGAGCCGGCGGCCAUGGCGCUCGCCCUUCCCGGCGAGCCGCCCGCGCCCGCCGUGCCCGCCGAGGACCGGCCGGCCGAGGAGGGCGGCUUCACCAUCGACAUCAAGAGCUUCCUCAAGCCGGGCGAGAAGACAUACACGCAGCGCUGCCGCCUCUUCGUGGGGAACCUGCCCACGGACAUCACCGAGGACGACUUCAAGCGGCUGUUUGAGCGCUACGGCGAGCCCAGCGAGGUGUUCAUCAACCGCGACCGCGGCUUCGGCUUCAUCCGCCUGGAGUCCAGAACACUGGCUGAAAUUGCAAAAGCAGAGCUGGACGGCACCAUUCUGAAGAGCAGACCUCUCCGAAUUCGUUUUGCUACACAUGGAGCAGCCUUAACUGUCAAGAACCUCUCUCCGGUUGUCUCCAAUGAGCUUCUGGAGCAAGCAUUUUCCCAGUUUGGUCCAGUAGAGAAAGCUGUGGUUGUCGUGGAUGACCGUGGUAGAGCUACAGGAAAAGGCUUUGUGGAAUUUGCAGCAAAACCUCCUGCACGAAAGGCUCUGGAGAGAUGUGGUGAUGGGGCAUUCUUGCUAACAACGACCCCUCGUCCAGUCAUUGUGGAGCCCAUGGAGCAGUUUGAUGAUGAAGAUGGCUUGCCAGAGAAGCUAAUGCAGAAAACUCAGCAGUAUCAUAAGGAAAGAGAACAGCCGCCGCGUUUUGCUCAGCCUGGGACAUUUGAAUUUGAGUAUGCAUCUCGCUGGAAGGCUCUGGAUGAAAUGGAGAAGCAGCAGCGCGAGCAGGUUGAUAGAAACAUCCGAGAAGCCAAAGAGAAACUGGAGGCGGAAAUGGAAGCGGCCCGGCACGAGCACCAGCUGAUGCUCAUGCGGCAAGAUUUAAUGAGGCGUCAAGAGGAACUCAGACGCUUAGAAGAACUCAGAAACCAAGAGCUGCAAAAACGGAAGCAAAUACAACUGAGGCAUGAAGAAGAGCACCGUCGUCGUGAAGAGGAAAUGAUCCGACACAGAGAACAGGAGGAGCUGAGGCGACAGCAGGAGGGCUUUAAGCCAAACUAUAUGGAAAAUAGAGAACAGGAAAUGAGAAUGGGUGAUAUGGGUCCCCGUGGAGCAAUAAACAUGGGAGAUGCGUUUAGCCCAGCACCUGCUGGUAACCAAGGUCCUCCUCCAAUGAUGGGUAUGAAUAUGAACAACAGAGGAACUAUACCUGGCCCACCAAUGGGUCCUGGUCCUGCCAUGGGGCCAGAAGGAGCUGCAAAUAUGGGAACUCCAAUGAUGCCAGAUAAUGGAGCAGUGGAGAAAAGAAAACAUGGAUGAAGCUACCUGAAAUUUGGUUUCCGGGGUGAACCGAAGUCGAGAGACAGGAAACGCUGGAGUCUCCCUUCAGCUGUGGUCCUGGGAGCCAGGAGCAUCAGCCUUUCCUGAGAGCUGCUCGCAAGGUGAGAAUCUCGGUACACACGGGCUCAUCGAAUCAGACCGCCCAGUUUAACGUGGUUCCAGGGGAUGUGCGUCCACACUGAGUGAGAAGCACUGAUAGCUCUAGAAAAUUAACGUUGGGUCGUGGUUCUCAAAGCUGGUCCCUGGAUCCGCAUCACUGUCACCUGGAAACUUGUUGAAAAUGCAGAUUCCCAGCCCAGUAGCAAGGCUCUUCUGUACCAGGAGGGAGCAGUCAGGCCUGGAAAUCCCAGAUUUUGUUGGAAAGGAACACCGUCUGCAGCUUCCCUGCUUAGAGCACCGAGGAUGAGAGGAGAAGAAGAGGUCCGCGGAGGACAGAGGCUCUUCUUGUUUUCCCCUCAGCUCCACUGUGAAAACGCAGCUGUGUCCCCGUGACUGUAGAGCAGAACAGGCAGUGGAACCUCGUCAGACAGCCUGUGGGGAUGGCCGUCCGCAGUGAAAUCCUAUUAGAAAACACUUUGACGAAGGUCAUGUUUCUAUUCCUGCCGACCACGGUGAGUGGUAUCCAGCAGAGGAAUGGUCGUCCUUCGUCAGCUCUAGUCGGACUGAGAAAUACUUGAUCCAUACGGAGAAUAUGACACAACGGACCCUAAUCAAGUUCCUGGUGCUUGUUUCAUGGUAUCAGUAUAAUUGUUUCUCUUCAUUUCUUCAGAGCCACACACCCCUCAACAGACCAAGGUCAGUGUUUGUCAAACUUGAGUGCUUUCAGGUCACCCAAGAUCUCACCAAGGUGCUGGCUGAGAGUCCUGGUCUGGGUGAGGCUCUGAGAGGAGACCACACUCUGAGUCCCGAGGGUCAGGAAAAUCUACCAGGAUCUCACAUCUGAGGACGACAGGGCAUCUUUGGAAAAAACCGCUAGUGGAUGCAUAUAUUGUGCACGUGCAAAAACAGCCAUACGUAACCCAGGACUGUCCAGCUGAACCGAAGCACUGGUGUGGAGGUGGGUGACCGGCCAGUUCACGGACUCAGCUCACCAGCUCAUGCCUGGCAGUGCAGACGGUCCACUUGGACUGUCAAGACCACAGUUCGCUAUCACUGAGAUGUUGUGAAUGGCUGGCUUUGACUGGUAGAGCUAUAUUUUCUUCAACUAAAUUUCCAUUAACAAAUAGGUAUUUUUCAAACAGGUGGGUUGUUUUUUUUUAAAAUAAAACAAGCCAGAACCCCGUUUCCUACCUUUCCUCCACUCUGUAUACGGAGCACCCGUGUCCUGGAGGAGGGGCCGUGGCCAUGGUCUCUACCUACCAAGUAGCUGUUAAGCAGAAACUAGGAAGCAGACAGAACUGAAGUUCUAUCUCUUGCUACUAAACUGUACUAUGGGACAAGACGUUUUCAUUUUUCUUUGUCUUUUUAAAAGGGCAAGACUAUUAGUGAUAAUAAAAUUCAGGGAAAAUACUGAUUUUGGGCUUAUCAUCUUGAAAGCUAAAUUUUAAUAAAAGUCAAUUUUAAUAAAAACUAGUAUAAUUA